GCUGAAGAAACGUAGCAUUUUAAAAGAAGUCCCUCUGUUUUGUGCUCAGCUUGAACCAGAGAACGCCGGCGCUUUGUGCCAGAACAAGAAAAUUUACUUAUUUUAAAAGCUGAAAGAGUCAGAGCACCUCUCUCAAACA